UACGUAGGGAGCAAGCGUUGUUCGGAUUUACUGGGCGUAAAGGGCGCGUAGGCGGCGCUGUAAGUCACUUGUGAAAUCUCUGAGCUUAACUCAGAACGGCCAAGUGAUACUGCAGUGCUAGAGUGCAGAAGGGGCAAUCGGAAUUCUUGGUGUAGCGGUGAAAUGCGUAGAUAUCUGGAGGAAUACCGGUGGCGAAGGCGGCAUCCUGGACCGACAUUGACGCUGAGGAGCGAAAGCUAGGGGAGCAAACGGG
rnacentral:rRNA from 1 species